GACGAACGCUGGCGGCGUGCCUAACACAUGCAAGUCGAACGGAAAGGCCCUGCUUUUGUGGGGUGCUCGAGUGGCGAACAGGUGAGUAACACGUGAGUAACCUGCCCUUGACUUUGGGAUAACUUCAGGAAACAGGGGCUAAUAUCGGAUAGGAGCUCCUGCUGCAUGGUGGUGGUUGGAAAGAUUCGGCGGUAGGGGCUGGACUCGCGGGUUAUCGGCUUGAUGGGGUGGUAGUUGCUUACCAAGGGUUUGACGGAUAGGCCGCCUGAGAGGGUGACCGGCCACCAGGGGACUACGGGACGGACCAGACGGCUACGGGCGGCAGCAGUGGGGAAUAUUGCGGAAUGGGGCGAAGCCUGAUGCAGCGACGCCGCGUGCGGGAUGACGGCCUUCGGGGUGUAAACAGAUUUCGCCUGUGACGAAGAGUUAGUGACGGUAAUGGGUAAAGAAGCAACGGCUAACUACGUG
rnacentral:rRNA from 1 species